GACGUAGGGCGCGAGCGUUGUCCGGAUUUAUUGGGCGUAAAGAGCUCGUAGGCGGCUUGUCGCGUCGUCUGUGAAAUCCCGCGGCUCAACCGCGGGUCUGCAGUCGAUACGGGCAGGCUAGAGUUCGGUAGGGGAGACUGGAAUUCCUGGUGUAGCGGUGAAAUGCGCAGAUAUCAGGAGGAACACCGGUGGCGAAGGCGGGUCUCUGGGCCGAUACUGACGCUGGAGGAG
rnacentral:rRNA from 1 species